GACAGAGGGUGCAAACGUUGUUCGGAAUUACUGGGCGUAAAGCGUGUGUAGGCGGCCAUGUAAGUCGGAUGUGAAAGCCCCGGGCUUAACCCGGGAAGUGCAUUCGAUACUGCGUGGCUUGAGUAUCGGAGAGGUUGGUGGAAUUCUCGGUGUAGAGGUGAAAUUCGUAGAUAUUCGCAAGAACACCGGUGGCGAAGGCGGCCAACUGGUCCGGAUCUGACGCUGAGGCGCGAAAGCGUGGGGAGCAAACAGG
rnacentral:rRNA from 1 species